rnacentral:misc_RNA from 1 species
UAUAAGAGACAGGUGAGUCAUCGAAUCUUUGAACGCACAUUGCGCCCCUUGGUAUUCCAUGGGGCAUGCCUGUUCGAGCGUCAUUACACCACUCAAGCUAUGCUUGGUAUUGGGCGUCGUCCUUAGUUGGGCGCGCCUUAAAGACCUCGGCGAGGCCACUCCGGCUUUAGGCGUAGUAGAAUUUAUUCGAACGUCUGUCAAAGGAGAGGAACUCUGCCGACUGAAACCUUUAUUUUUCUAGGUUGACCUCGGAUCAGGUAGGGAUACCCGCUGAACUUAAGCAUAUCAAUAAGCGGAGGA